GACCCGCUCACGGGUGAGUAACACGUAUGCAACCUGCCCGCCACAGGGGGAUAAGCGGAAGAAAUUCCGUCUAAUACCGCGUGACGCGGCGCCGGGGCAUCCCGGUGCCGCCAAAGGGAUUACCGGUGGCGGAUGGGCAUGCGGCGCAUUAGCUAGUCGGCGGGGUAACGGCCCACCGAGGCGACGAUGCGUAGGGGUUCUGAGAGGAAGGUCCCCCACACUGGUACUGAGACACGGACCAGACUCCUACGGGAGGCAGCAGUGAGGAAUAUUGGUCAAUGGGCGCGAGCCUGAACCAGCCAAGUCGCGUGAGGGAUGACGGUCCUACGGAUUGUAAACCUCUUUUGCCGGGGAGCAAGCGUGCGUUCGUGAACGCACGUCGAGAGUACCCGGAGAAAAAGCAUCGGCUAACUCCGUGCCAGCAGCCGCGGUAAUACGGAGGAUGCGAGCGUUAUCCGGAUUUAUUGGGUUUAAAGGGUGCGUAGGCGGGAUGCCAAGUCAGCGGUAAAAAUGCGGUGCUCAACGCCGUCGAGCCGUUGAAACUGGCGUUCUUGAGUGGGCGAGAAGUAUGCGGAAUGCGUGGUGUAGCGGUGAAAUGCAUAGAUAUCACGCAGAACUCCGAUUGCGAAGGCAGCAUACCGGCGCCCUACUGACGCUGAGGCACGAAAGCGUGGGUAUCGAACAGGAUUAGAUACCCUGGUAGUCCACGCAGUAAACGAUGAAUGCUAACUGUCCGGCGCGAAUGAGCGCU
rnacentral:rRNA from 1 species